GGAGGAUGCGAGCGUUAUCCGGAUUUAUUGGGUUUAAAGGGUGCGUAGGCGGAUUAAUAAGUCAGUGGUGAAAACCUUCAGCUUAACAGGAGAACUGCCAUUGAUACUGUUAGUCUUGAGUACGGUCAAGGUAGGCGGAAUGUGUAAUGUAGCGGUGAAAUGCAUAGAUAUUACACAGAACACCGAUUGCGAAGGCAGCUUACUGGGCCAUUACUGACGCUGAGGCACGAAAGCGUGGGGAGCGAACAGGAUUAGAUACCCUGGUAGUCCACGCCGUAAACGAUGAUCACUCGCUGUUGGCGAUACACAGUCAGCGGCUAAGCAAAAGCAUUAAGUGAUCCACCUGGGGAGUACGGCCGCAAGGCUG
rnacentral:rRNA from 1 species